rfam:Ciona savignyi cont_35303, whole genome shotgun sequence.
GCUCAUCACCAUUCCAGAUUGAAUACACCCGAUCUCGUCUGAUCUCGGAAGCCAAGCAAUCUCGGGCUUGGUUAGUACUUGGAUGGGUGACCGCUUGGGAAUACCAAGUGUGAUAAGCA